GUUGCCUCAUCUAAGUAAGACUACCCGCUGAACUUAA
rnacentral:rRNA from 1 species